UGCCAGGAUGGCGUAGUGGUAGCGCAUCUGCCUAGUGAGCAGGAGACGCUGGUUCGAAUCCGGCCUUGGUAA